GAAGAAGGCCUUCGGGUUGUAAAGCACUUUUGUCCGGAAAGAAAACGCUUCUCUAAUACAGAGGUGGGAUGACGGUACCGGAAGAAUUAGCACCGGCUAACUACGUGCCAGCAGCCGCGGUAAUACGUAGGGUGCAAGCGUUAAUCGGAAUUACUGGGCGUAAAGCGUGCGCAGGCGGUUCGCUAAGACCGAUGUGAAAUCCCCGGGCUUAACCUGGGAACUGCAUUGGUGACUGGCGGGCUAGAGUAUGGCAGAGGGGGGUAGAAUUCCACGUGUAGCAGUGAAAUGCGUAGAGAUGUGGAGGAAUACCGAUGGCGAAGGCAGCCCCCUGGGCCAAUACUGACGCUCAUGCACGAAAGCGUGGGGAGCAAACAGGAUUAGAUACCCUGGUAGUCCACGCCCUAAACGAUGUCACUAGUUGUCGGGUCUUCAUUGACUUGGUAACGAAGCUAACGCGUGAAGUUGACCGCCUGGGGAGUACGGUCGCAGAUUAAAACUCAAAGGAAUUGACGGGGACCCGCACAAGCGGUGGAUGAUGUGGAUUAUUCGAUGCAACGCGAAAAACCUUACCUACCCUUGACAUGUACGGAAUCCUGCUGAGAGGUGGGAGUGCCCGAAAGGGAGC
rnacentral:rRNA from 1 species